rnacentral:tRNA from 2 species
GCGGGUGUAGUUCAGUGGUAGAACGCUAUCCUUCCAAGUUAGAUGUCGUCGGUUCGAGUCCGAUCACCCGCU